GCUGUUGCUGACACUUCUCAGUGUGACCCAAGUGCUGGUCCAAAGGGAGCCCCGGUGGGGGAUACUAUUGGUGUUCCUGAGACCCAUGCCGAUACGCCAUGACGUUUAAGCCCACUCCUGUGAACUUCUAUCAGGGGAUGGCUGGGAACCAUUCAACAUAGUAAUUCCUAUGAAUAAUUUUGGGUAGUUCGGGUUUAUGAGAAGACUAACAUAUUUGAUGAUACAGAAAGCUCUAAUGAGAAAUAAAAUUAUGGAGACAUUGGGAUACUAUUGAUUUAAAUAUGAUCAUCCUAAAAUACAUUUGAGUACAACUAUUAAAAUCAUUAACAUUUUUAGUCUUUCUUAGGAAUCAUGUCAAAAUCAUGAAAUCUUAGCAGUGUGUUUAGAUAUGAUCAAUAAAGCAUUUUAGCCUU
rnacentral:lncRNA from 1 species